CCGGAGAUAAAACAAAGCCUUCACUCCCUCGAGAUCCCCAACUCCACUCUCCUCAUAUACUCUUCAGUCCUCCUCACUCCGCCAACUCGCCGCUCACUACACUUGCUAUAGCAAGCGAUCGAGCACAUACACGGCUUGGCUUUGCAUGUGCGCAGUGCGCUGCUACUACCACUACUCUCCGACACCGAUCGAUCCGUCGAGCGAUGGAGAGAGACCUGCAGGUGAUGCCGCCGUGGGGGAGGGAGGUAGCGGCGCCGUGCGGCGGCGGUGCAACGGAGAGCUCGCCGUCGUCGCGCAGCACCAGCGGGUGCCAGUCCGGCUGGACGGUCUACCUGGACCACUCCAACGGGAUGCGUUACCAUCCCUGCGACGACCCCGCCGCCGCCGCCGCCCAGAGGUGGGUGUCGGCGCUGCAGGCGGCGGACGACGACGGCGGCGACGUGGAGGACUCCAUGGCCUCCGACGCGUCCUCGGGCUCCCGGCCGCGCCCGCGCGACCAAGACGGCGAGCAGACGCGGCGAGACUUCGACUUGGAGCAGCAGGGCCCGCGAGGAUACAUCCGCCAGCACAGCCACUCGAGCAGUGUUCACUGUUGCAGUGCCAGUAGUGGCUCCGCCGGCGGCGGCGUCGGCGGAUUCGGUUCUUCGACGUGGUCCAGCUCCCGCGGCUCGCAGGGCAGGGCCAAGGGCCACGUCGCCAGGAGGAGGCGGGUCGUCGUCCACGGCGGCGGUGCGGAGACGACGACGCACCAGUACCGCGGCGAAAUCGUCGUCGUCCACGAGGAGGACGAACUCGACGACACGGCCAGCUCGUCUGCCGUUUUCAGCAGUCAUCAUCCUAUGGCCAUGGUGCACGUUAAUUAAUUUCUCCGGUUGAAAGCACCUCCACAGCUCGCACGAGUUGCGCAAUAUAUAGCUAGGCUAGCUAGGCUAUGCAUGUAACGUAGAUGGUGUGAGCUCCGCAUCUGUUCUCUACUCUAACACGGGCUAGUUUUCUUCUUCCUUACAUGCAUGUUCAGUACGUACAAGAAAUCUUUGACAGCGUACUACGUAGUUUUUUCUGGACUCUGAACAGGCGGCGGUAAGGCACAAAUCGGUUUCAUAUCCAUUCAGUAACUCGAUUGAUCCGGUAUUUAU
rnacentral:misc_RNA from 1 species